CCUGAGUGCUGGGACUAAAAGGGUGUGACACCACCACCUGGCUUAAAAUAUAUAAUUUUUAACUUAAAGAAAAGAUAAUUGUUUUAGUCAGGUUUGCAUUACUGCAACGAGAUAUCCCAGGAUAUUAUUAAUUUAUGAGGGAAAAUGUUUAAAGUUUUUGUGGAAGAUCUGGGGGCUCUGUUGUUGGAGUCCCUAGUGGGCAUACCAGAUAGCAAAAUAAGAUCCUAUGUACACAUCACAACUUAGAAACACAUUAGGAUUCUACAACUCCAUCCAUGGUACAUUCCCAGUGGCCUAAAGAUCUCCUAGAAGUCAUCACCUUUUAAAGAUUCGGGUUUUUUUCUUUUUCAUUCUUGUUCUUUUGGUUAUCUGAGAUAGGGUUUUUUUGUGUAACUUACUCUGUAGACCAGGCUGACCUCCUACUCAGAGAUCCCCCUGCCUCUGCCUCCCAAGUCCUGGGAUUAAGUGUGAGCCACCACUGCCUGGCUACAACUGGGAAUUUUAAAAGUCUUCUUUUCAUCUCAUUUCGAAGCCAUUUAAUCUAAAAUUGUCUGUACAUAACAGAGUCAUCCUUUGUUAUGAUGUGGGGAUUCAACUUGAACUCAUUAUUGGUACCUUGGUUAUAACUGUCUUGUAGGCUAUUCUGUUACAUACCCCCAGCACUUAGGAGGAACAGAGACAGUCAGCUAAGCAAUUUGUGCCCACCUCUGCUGUUCAGAUUGGUUUUUUAACUGACAGUAAUAAAUCAGAGGGGACUAGCUACAUCAGUUCUCAUAGCCCAAUUCUGCCAAAUGUAGGGCAAAAAUGCUUUAUCUUAUGACAGGAUGCAAAAAUUUCCCUGUCACAUUUCCGUCUGUAAGUCUCCAGUAAACUUUAUCCUGUUUAACUCUGGAGCUGUCUGUUUCUUUUGCUGGUCUCCUGGUGUCUAUGACUUUAGGCUUCAGUUCUGGUUGGCGCAUCAGGACCAAGUCUGUCGAAGCACAGUCCACAUGCCUCCUGAGCACAAAUGGCUUAGAAACUUUGGCGAACCAUUCCCUUUUUAUUGUUUCCAUUCUUCCUAAAUUCUUAAAUGAAAUGAACCUUAUGGUGUCUCAGAGUUUGUCUACCUGCAGCUACCAGAAUUUAUAAGUGGAACAGGGUGUGCUUUGUAAUUGACCACAUUUUGAAUUUUUUUAAAAGAUAUUUUCUUUAGAAAAAAGUCUACGAUUAUCUUAUUUCUUCUAAACUGGUAUACAGUGUUCUCAGAUAUCAAGUGUGAGCAUUGUCUGUUAAGUUUGUGGCUCUGUUUGCUCACUGUGCUUUUUCAGAUUCCCGUGUUGGUUUUCCUAAUAGUCUUUUAUACCUAUAAACAAAGACUAAAUUUCUAGUUGUUGACUUGCAUGGGAUUUUACUAGACACCUCAUAUUCUCUGUUUCAGGAGACAUUUGCACUUCAUUCUGUGGGGAGGAUCUGCCCACCCACAGUACACAUAUACACUGUUGGUGGCUUGUUGCCUCUGAGUCAACAUUAAAUCUAACCAUCCACACAUUGGCUUGGGAACUCAGUGACUGGUGCAUGCAAACCCUCCCUUGCUACACAGAGCAAGGGGAAUGAAGGGAAAGGACGACCUGAGAGAUGAGGCAGUCAACUGGAAAGAGGCCAGACUGAAUCUUUGUGAUCGACUGCCUUUGGUUCCCCAUCCCGAAAGAAUCUGAUGGCUUCCACUGACCGGAAUGACUACGGUCAAGGACACCGAUGACAGCUUAUUCUGGAGAGGAUGUGGAGAAAGGGGAACAUUUCUCUGUUGCUGGUGGGAGUGCAAACCUGUACAGCCUAUGUGGAAAUCAGUAUGGCGAUUUCUCAGAAAAUUAGGGAUCAGGCUACCUCAAGACCCUGAAAUACCACUUGGAGGAAGUGAUUUUACGUAUCCGUAAGCGCUGACAACUCCCAUGUGGAUGUGUUCACAGACUCUUGCAGCGGUUACUUGGAAAAAUACUGAGGUUUCACGGAGGAGCUGUUUGGUGGCACACCUAUGUCACCCGCUGGCCAAGCAUAGUCAUUGCAGGAAACAAUCAGAAAUAGAACUCAUCCUAUAUAUAUAGCACAUAUCAGAUCCCAU